rnacentral:rRNA from 1 species
GACGAACGCUGGCGGCGUGCUUAACACAUGCAAGUCGAACGGAAAGGCCCUGCUUUUGUGGGGUGCUCGAGUGGCGAACGGGUGAGUAACACGUGAGUAACCUGCCCUUGACUUUGGGAUAACUUCAGGAAACUGGGGCUAAUACCGGAUAGGAGCUCCUGCUGCAUGGGGGGGGUUGGAAAGUUUCGGCGGUUGGGGAUGGACUCGCGGCUUAUCAGCUUGUUGGUGGGGUAGUGGCUUACCAAGGCUUUGACGGGUAGCCGGCCUGAGAGGGUGACCGGCCCCAUUGGGCCUGGGAUACGGCCCAGACUCCUACGGGAGGCAGCAGUGGGGAUUAUUGCACAAUGGGCGGAAGCCUGAUGCAGCAACGCCGCGUGCGGGAUGACGGCCUUCGGGUUGUAAACCGCUUUCGCCUGUGACGAAGCGUGAGUGACGGUAAUGGGUAAAGAAGCACCGGCUAACUACGU